rfam:Ruegeria sp. ZGT118 contig_3, whole genome shotgun sequence.
UGCGUAUUUCGCGGCGGAGGAGCUCGACCGCCCGUUCAAGCCAUGAUCGCCUUCAUCGAGAAACACCGGGCUGUCUUUGGUGUCGGGCCGAUCUGCCGGGUUCUGGGGAACGCACCA